UACGAGGGGUGCAAGCGUUGCUCGGAAUCAUUGGGCGUAAAGGGUAGGUAGGUGGUCUCAUUUGUCUGGGGUGAAAGCCUUGAGCUUAACUCAAGAAGUGCCCCGGAAACGGUGAGACUAGAGUACUGGAGAGGGUCGUGGAAUUCCCGGUGUAGCGGUGAAAUGUGUAGAGAUCGGGAGGAACACCAGUGGCGAAGGCGGGUCUCUGGGCAAUUCCUGACGCUGAGGCGCGAAAGCGUGGGGAGCAAACGGG
rnacentral:rRNA from 1 species